rnacentral:misc_RNA from 1 species
GAUGAAGAACGCAGCGAAAUGUGAUAACUAAUGUGAAUUGCAGAAUUCCGUGAAUCAUCGAGUCUUUGAACGCACAUUGCGCCCCCUGGUAUUCCGGGGGGCAUGCCUGUCCGAGCGUCAUUGCUGCCCAUCAAGCACGGCUUGUGUGUUGGGUCCUCGUCCCCCCCGGGGGACGUGCCCGAAAGGCAGCGGCGGCACCGCGUCCGGUCCUCGAGCGUAUGGGGCUUUGUCACCCGCUCUGCAGGCCCGGCCGGCGCUGGCCGACGCGAAAGCAACCAUUUUUUCUCCAGGUUGACCUCGGAUCAGGUAGGGAUACCCGCUGAACUUAAGCAUAUCAAUAACGGAGGA